GGCGCCCACCACCACGCCCGGCUAAUGGUCUCGAUCUCCUGACCUCGUGAUCCGCCCGCCUCGGCCUCCCAAAGUGCUGGGAUUACAGGCGUGUACAAAUGCAUUUAAUCCUCACAGCCACCCUGAAAGGACUUUGGUAUAGAUAAGCUAUCACUGGUUAUUAAGAAGUUCCAUGUUCAAUUUGCAAUCCACUUCUGGCAAGAUCUCAAACAUUUUGUGGGCCAUUACAAAGCUCAUGUCCCCUAUGUCUGUGGGGCCUAAUGAUUCAAACAGCCGUGACCAGGCCUGCCUGUGUGGCCCAGCCUGGCUGGCAUUCAAGUGAAUAACAUCAUCUCCAUCUCACUGCACAGAAGUAUGAACUGCGGUGUCAGCAGGUUUCCAUGACACCACCGGUGAUGUAGAGCACACAUCUCUCCCACACUCUGCUGGUUACCAGGCCCUGGCAGUACAGACCAGGCCUCCUGGGUUGCCUUCCUCCUUCCGGCUCACAGGUUCCUCUUCACUCCCAUGCUCUGCUCCCCAGACCUCUGGCCCAGAAGGAGUGACCCAGAGCCUGAGGCAGGAGAAAUUUUGAGGCGGAGACUGGAGCUGAGGAUGAGGCCCAGGCCCGGCUAGAGAGAAAACACUGAGAAGGGACUGAGGCCCCCACAUGCUGGAAUCUUGUGAAAAGAGGUGAAGGCAAAGCUGGGGAUGAGAGAGAGAAGACGGAGCAGGAGAUUAGCAAGGAAAUAAGGUGGGGAAACAGCUGGGAAGACAGACAUGCAUCUGGAAGAUUCCAGAAAAGGCCAUUUCAUCCAGCCCUGCUCCAGCAGUUUGUAUUUCAGCAGCCUCACGGGACACCUGGCCUUUCCUUUCUGACAUCGUUCUCCAUCCAUCCAGCACCUCUUGGAGAUCACAAGGGGCUCUCCACAUGAGACUUUUGAAACUAAGAAAUAGAUUUGGGUGUUGCACGUGUUUGCUCUGGAGCCACAUUGCUUGGGCUCAAAUCCCAGAUCCAUGGCUUCAUCACCUAUGAACCUUGGGCACAUUUCCCCACAUGCCUGUGCCUCAGUUUCCUCAGCUGUGAAAUGGAGUGAUAAUAGUUCCUACUUUUACUGAGUCAUUGUGACGUUUUCUGUGAAAGGCCUAACAUAUGAAAAGCACUCCAUAAAUGUUUAGCUAUUAUUAUUUCAAGGAAUUGUAAAAACAGGAUCACAAAAUUGUGGAAUAUCAUUAAUGUUUACAUUUAACAAAUUAUACCCUUUAAUUCAGAAAAUGCAAUGGCAUAUAACUGUGGUAUUUACAGGUAAUAUAGAAGUUAAGGUUUUUUCUAUAUAAUUAACUUAUAGCACCCUAGAGGUAGGAUGGUUCAGUCAUGGGACGUGAGUUUAGAGCUGAAUGAGAAGUAUCUGUGUUAUGACUGUAUUUAUAACCUCAUUUGGAAGCAACGUUAAAAGCCUAAAUUUGAGAUCCUUUGUAAAUGUUUGUCUCCAAGCCAAAUGCUUUUUCCUGGUCCCCUUCCUGACUCAUGCUCCCACCCCCGUUCAUAUCUUAAAAUGAUUAGGGCAGAAAAGGGUGGGGGAGUUGGAAUAGACUCUACUUCCUGCCUCUCUGAUUUUACAAUUAGAUUAACAGGGCAUAAGGCCUUUACCUCUACAACUGGAUGAUUUAUAGUUUUAUAUAUAUUACACACACACACACACACACACACACACACACACAGAGAAAGAGAGAGAGACAGAGAGAGAUAUUCAGCCUAAUAUGUCAGUAUAGAUCCUUUUGCAAUUCAUGAGCAUGAUGAUGUGGUAUCACACUUACGUGUGAGAUGUGCCUCCCUCAAACCUUCUUCCUACAGGUUGGCACUUUGCCCACCUGACAUGAAAAAAGAAGUCAAUGUAGAAGGAGAGGUAAUACAAGGCUAAAACUCACUUGUCCUGUAAACAACUGAAGACAAGCCAGUCUUUGAGAUGAAAGCCUGCAGGUGCUAGCCAAAAGAGAAGGGUGGGGAGGACAGGUAAACUUUCCCUACCUUACAAUUUGGUUUUUACUCACAUAUGCCCAAUAGAAGCUGUGUGUAAUGCAAGCAAUAAAAUGAAUGACUUUCUACCAAA
rnacentral:lncRNA from 1 species